CUGCCCCUUAUCCAACACCCCGCCCCCUUACCCUUACCAGGCUGCUCAGAGUGGCAGGACAAGCUUAUUUGAACACCUGGGAGGUGGGUAGGCACAAGCCGCACUGCCUGCUGGGGAGGGGGAGUGGCCAGGGGCUAGCCUCCCCCUGCCAGGAGCUCAGGGGCCAGGCAGGACGGUCCCGCAGGCUGUAGUUUGCCCACCACUGAGUUAAAGGGAUGCAAGUGUCAAGCAAGUCCUUUUGAAUUAGGCCUUGCUCUUUUUGAGGCAUCAGUACACUUGAGGCCUGCCUGCACUAAGAUUUUGUUGCUCUCUGAAAUAGAGGCAACAAAGGUUUUGUCCUGCCUAUGUGAGCACUCUCACCAUUUUAAAUACUGGUUUAAAGGAACUAGUUAUUAACAGUGCAAGCAGGUCCCUGUUGUAGUCUAGUUAAUUUAAUAUUAAUUGUUCAAAUGUGGAAGUCAUCAUCUGCAGAGGAGCUGCUGGGAAAUGCUUGAAGGACACACAGGUGUGAAAUUACUGAUCCUUCACUGACUGAGUGGCAUGAUGUCCUAUGGCCUGCAUUGGCACAACUGGAUCACAGAAAACAAUUAGCAGGAAGAGGAAAAGAGUUUAGAAGCAGAAAUCCAAGUUUUGAAGCUGCUUCUGCCUAGUGUGAGCUGUCCGUGUAGCAGCCUGAUAUUUGUUGUUUUUAUUGUUUACUUCUUCUUCUGCCCCUCCGCCCAUUUAUCCUAAGUCUGAGCCUACAUCAGGUUUCCAGUAGAUUUUUGUCUAACUUCUUAACAAAAAAGUCCCCCUCUUCUAAGUCUAUCUACUAUUAGGAAUUGAUGCCUCCUGUUGUUUCCUAGCUUUAAAAACAUUGCCCAGGAAACAAAAUGACUUCUAUAGCAAUAAAUUAGUUUAAUAGAUUGUA